ACGAACGUUGGCGGCGUGCUUAAGGCAUGCAAGUCGUACGGAUAUACUGAGAUUACAUCAACUGUAUCUUAGUGGCAGACGGGAGCGUAACACAUUGGUAAUCUACCUCGAUGACGCGGAUAACGCAUGGAAACGUGCGCUAAAACGCGAUGGUCAAGGGGGGACAUAAGUCAUUCCCUUGUAAAUACCGCAAGGUGCGUCGAGAGGAGCCUAUGGUCUAUCAGCUAGUUGGUGAGGUAAUGGCUCACCAAGGCUAUGACGGAUAUGGGGUGUGAGAGCACGACCCCACUCACUGGGACUGAGACACUGCCCAGACACCUACGGGUGGCUGCAGUCUGGAAUAUUCCCCAAUGGGCGAAAGCCUGAGGGAGCGACGCCGCGUGCAGGAUGACGCCCUUCGGGGUGUAAACUGCUUUUAUGUGGGACGAACAAAUGACGGUACCACAUGAAUAAGAGGUUGCUAACUCUGU
rnacentral:rRNA from 1 species